UUUGUCUAGCCACUGCAUUUAUGUUCAUUGUGUCCCGGAAGUGAGGUUGCAGAAGUUUGUAUAUUGGAUGAAGCACACUUAGAUGCCUAUUUGUUGCAAUCACAAAUGGCUCGAUCGCUGCAUGGGUGUGCAACCUAUGAAGAAAGUACAAAUCUUUAGAAAUCGAUCUCAAUUAAUUAAGUAAUUAAUUAUCUUUCUUCUGAUAGUCUAUUUUUGUUUGACAGAUUUCAUACCAGUGGCUGAUAAGCUGGUGAAUGCCAGAAUCAAUUACAGCCACAUAUGCUUUAGCCAGUUGCCAUAUGGAACCUUCAAUGCCAUGCUCAGCUGGUGUGCAUACUUUGCUAAUGGCACCGAGUUUAUCUCCCUCAGGAUGAGGCAAGCUUAAUUCGAUCGCAAGAGGCUUAAGAGUACCAUCAUCUUUCAAGAAAAGUAGGGUCCUGGUUGCAUAUGUCUUUGUGGAAGUAGCAUUUAUCCGCCUCAGGUAUGGCAUGACUGUAUCAUGGUGAUCUAAUAUGUAUAGCUUCUUGUUCUUGAUUGCCUUCACCACCAUUAAUACAACAAAUGUUCAAUUGUGGGAUUGAUUAAAUUCAACUAAUCCCGACAAGAACAUCAUUGAUUUUGAUUGUAAACUCAGUUGUGAAAGAAACGAAAAAGAGUAGCAUUACCUCAUCUAUGGUCAGUCCAUCUAGUCUAUUCUUUAUAUGUUCUUCACUUAUUUUACUGUUUUGAUCACCAUAAAAUUUGCUGUCUAGAUUGCUUUCUGGAGGGAAUUCCUGCAGUAAAAUUUAGUUUUAGGCAUCAACUUCCUGUCUGUAACGGGUGAAAUUGGAAGGAAACGAAGGUUUGACAUCCAUUAUAAUUUUCCUAAGUCAAUUCUAUACAAACCUUCAUGGCAAACAAUAAGGGAAAAAGUGCUUCAAUACCUCGAGACAACGAAUGAUGACAGGGUUUACACCGGCCAGCAUUUCUCUGCCAAAUUCUUCAUCAGUCCUCCAAGCAGUCUUGCUCUCUGCCCAAUUAUUAGAACAUCACAGUUGCUUGGCAGAAGGAAAAGAAAUGUCAGCUUCAAUGGUGGAGAUACGUAUCAUACCUUUGAUUACUUGAGGUGUUGGAAAUUUGAAAAGCUGCUCGCCAUCUGUUCGGAAAAUUUCCUUAAGCAUCUCCUGUGGAAUGUUUUUCCUUAUGUUAUCUAGUAGGGGGCCAUCAGGCAACUCAAUCCCUCCCUCAUAGAGCUUUAACACAUCAUCAAAAGAGUCAAAAUCAUUGGGGGUGCUGUCAAAUAGAGCCUCUAGUUCAGGUUUAACAAACUGGACAAUAGAUUUCAGUGCAUAAGCAAGGAAGUCGGCCAUCUUCAAGUGGCCAAAUCGUUCAUCUCUUGGAACAUAAAUGUUCAAACUCAUGAGAAUUGGCAGCCUGCUUUCAUAGUUGGGAUCUGCUCGUAAAUGCAACAAGUCAAAAACCAUAAAACAGUGGGGAGAUUUGAUUUCAGUGAGAACAGUUAUCGAGUAGAGUGCUUGUUGACCUGAUUCAGCUGGUGGUCUGCCAGUUCUUCCCCUGCGAGGAUAAGGAUACUCGGCAGACCCUCCAAGGAUUGGACGGACAUACUUUGGUCCCUUAUCAGGAUCUCCCAAAUCAUUGUAGUAGGCAUAGUCAUAGACACGAUCCCAUUCUUGGAGCUCUCCUUUUCCAUCUCCUCUCAAGUUCACCAAUUCUUCCUCCCUGUACUUACGCAGCGGAAUCGGUGUCUCAUGUGGCAAAUAUGUCUACACAAUCAUAACAAAUUCAUUAUCAGCUUAACAAGCUCCAUUCCUAGCUGCUAAGGUAUUAUCAUCACAAUAUAUGAGUUGUUGCUUACCUUGUUUGCAAAGAAAAUGCGAUCUUUCUUAUAAAGCUUGGCAGGGUAAACCCAUGAGUUGCAGAUGAAAUGGAUUCGACCUUGCCCAGGAACGUCUUCAAGAGUGAGAGUUUUCAGGUAAAAUUCACUGUGAUGAUUGUUUUUUAUGAUGAAUGCUCCUGGAAGUGCAAUCUCAUCAUCCCAAUCAAAGGCGACUUUGAAUGCUGAGUCUCCUGGCGUUAAGGGAGCGAUUGUAGUAAUCCAAUCUUCCAAAUAUGCAGGCUCUCCUACUUUCCCCUGAAGACCAUUUUCUACAAAGGAACCCAAAUAUGCACCAUUCUAGUUACUGGCAGUCUACAAUAAUUAGUUUGCAGGUUAAUCAAGGGAAAAAAAAAAUCAAGAAAGUUGCCAACCAGGAAGUUGCAGAAAAUUUCUGUAAUAUCAACUGUCUUGCUUUAUGAGCUAAACUAUGACACAAUUUCUGAAUUAAAUACCAUAAAAUCUUGAGGAGAGAGUUCUCUGACUUGGUAGUUAUUGAAUUAAUAUAGAAAAUUUUCUAUCGUUGACUCUUUGUUGAGGGGUAACAACAGCUGGAACUGGUUGGGCCUCAUCUGACAUUCAUCAAUCUUUUUCUAGAAAGUCUUAGCAACAUAUGGCUGUGACUUUGUGCAGGCACAGCCUCUAUUCUUACCAUGGAUGUAUACAAACUAAGGUUACCACAAGUGGGUCCUAUUUCAUUGUCUGUUAGUGCACUGAGGUCUGAGGCUAAUAUGAUUCACUUUAUCAGGUUUUGUCUCCAAAGAAAAAGUGGUAAGUUCAAUUGCUCAUAGGAAGAAAGAGCGAUAGAGAUGAGAAGUAUAAAAACACAAAAAUAAAAAUACAUGAACAAUCCCAGAUCUUGAAACCGAGCUGAUGGGUUUCUCCUAUUUGUUUUUCUUGAAAUACUACUUUCUUUUCUUCAAUACCAACCAUGAUGCUAACUUGGUUUUCUCAUAGCCCAGCUACAUCGAUCACUGCCAAGGUGAUCAAUACUGGCUAGCAAAGAAAGAAGAAUAAUCAAAGAAUCAUGAUAAAGAGAGAAAUUAAAGAAAGAGAAUCACCUGCUGAGUCACUGCAGUUGACAGAACU
rnacentral:lncRNA from 1 species